rnacentral:lncRNA from 1 species
CUUCCCGCUCUAAAGUCUGCCGGUAUCCGUUCUUGUUUUGAAUUCUAUUGCGUCGUUUGGUGUACUUCUACGCGUGGAGAAUUUUUCAUUAAUCUUGUUUAGCAACUUUCUUCCUCAGUGCAUUUAAGGGUUUGCUGUUUCCAAGGAUUUUUGUGGUUGGAUUUUUUUAGGACUUUCAUAGAAUCCAUACUGUAUGAACAUCUUCCGUGAACAGGUUCCGAUUUAACUUAAAUAUCUUAGCGGUUUUUAGUAAUCAUUUUUGUGGAAACAUAGAAUCUGUAAAUACUUCAAGCAGUUACUCCAGUAAUGUGAAAUCAACUACUUUAUCUAGAAUGCUAGAAUUACUGACUGUAAUAUAUU